rnacentral:rRNA from 1 species
AUUGAACGCUGGCGGCAUGCUUUACACAUGCAAGUCGAACGGCAGCGCGGGCUUCGGCCUCUCGGCUUGUUGCCAACGGGUGCGUAAUUCAUCGGAACGUACCCAGUAUUGCGGUAUAGCCCGGCGAAACCCGGAUUAAUACCGCAUACGACCUGAGGGUGAAAUCGUGGGACCGAAAGGCCUCUUGCUAUUUUACCGUCCGAUGUCGGAUUAGCUUGUUGGUGGGGUAAAGGCUUACCAAGGCGAGGAUCCGUAGCUGUUCUGAGAGGACGUCCAGCCACACUGGGACUGAGACACGGCCCAGACUCAUACGGGAGGCAGCAGUGGGGAAUUUUGGACAAGGGGGGCAACGAUGAUCCAGCCAUGCCGCGUGCGGGAAGAAGGCCUUGGGGUUGUAAACCGAUUUUGUUCGGGAAGAAAUACUCUGGGCUAAUACCCCGGGGGGAUGACGGUACCGGAAGAAUAAGCACCGGCUAACUACGUG